CGGAGGGUGCAAGCGUUAUCCGGAUUCACUGGGUUUAAAGGGUGCGUAGGUGGGUUGAUAAGUCAGUGGUGAAAUCUCCAGGCUUAACUUGGAAACUGCCAUUGAUACUAUCAGUCUUGAGUACUGUGGAGAUGAGCGGAAUAUGUCAUGUAGCGGUGAAAUGCUUAGAUAUGACAUAGAACACCAAUUGCGAAGGCAGCUCGUUACACAAAUAUUGACACUGAUGCACGAAAGCGUGGGGAUCAAACAGGAUUAGAUACCCUGGUAGUCCACGCCCUAAACGAUGGAUACUCGACAUUUGCGAUAAACUGCAAGUGUACUGAGCGAAAGCAUUAAGUAUCCCACCUGGGAACGUACGACCACAAGGUUG
rnacentral:rRNA from 1 species